UACGAAGGGGGCUAGCGUUGUUCGGAAUCACUGGGCGUAAAGCGCACGUAGGCGGAUUGGUCAGUUAGAGGUGAAAGCCCAGAGCUCAACUCUGGAACUGCCUUUAAGACUGCAUCGCUUGAAUCAUGGAGAGGUUAGUGGAAUUCCGAGUGUAGAGGUGAAAUUCGUAGAUAUUCGGAAGAACACCAGUGGCGAAGGCGACUAACUGGACAUGUAUUGACGCUGAGGUGCGAAAGCGUGGGGAGCAAACAGG
rnacentral:rRNA from 1 species